UUUUAACAGAUCUCUAUUUCCAAGUUGGCUCCUGUGGUCUUCAACAAGAGUGGAGGGUACUGAAAUCAUUCUUCCUUAUCGACGCAGCUCAUAGGAGUGUUAGAGAAUAAGAGCUUUGUGUCCCACAAGCCCCACGUGUACCGGAGGGUAGGACUACAAACCUAACUUCCCAAGGAAGUCAGAGCAGCAAAUAUAUAGUUGAGAAUUAAAAGGGAGUGCUUGGAAUGGGAACAUCUUCUGUGUGAGCCUGCUUUUCUGCUUUGAUGGGGAGGUGCAAGCUGCUUGGAGAGGCCUGGUAGGCAGUGCUCAUGCCACAGUAACUUAUCUAAAUGAAGGAGAUCCUAUGAGACGAAAUGAUGCCCUGACUAGCUCAUUCUCCUAUCCUCUGUUCACAUUGUUUGAAUGUGUUUCAGUGCUCGUAGAGGAAGAGGAGCGGUAAAAUAUCUUGUCAGCGUGGACAAAAUGACAAUGCUCCUUUCCCUUCAGAAGAUCAGACCAUCUCCUCACCUAUAGGUCUAGCAUAGGAGUUUCCUUUCCCUUAUCCCCCUAUGUACUGAACAAACCCUUGGACCUUCACCAAUGCAACUGUGCUCUGCCUUGCUGCACCUCAAAAUCAUGCUGGGAGCCUGUGAUCCCAAGGCCCUCUUCCCUCAGGGUUCUGCCACCUGCAUUGAGAAUGCAGCCCACCUCCAGUUCUGGGAAUAAAAGGUACGUGCAUGUGAUCCGUCUGUAGGGAGUAUAUCACCUGCAGCAUGCAUGCAGGCAAAACUGAGAUAUGUGAAAGCAACGUUACCAGUAUGUAUAGGGGAGCAAGCUCCAAUGGCACACGUUCACCUCCACAUUCAGACGGGUAACCCGCAGAGAAUGCAGUGACGCACAGCUCAAAUGAAACUUAAUGUGAACCAAAAAGAAAAAAGAGCAGCUCGGCUACACAAAUCAUUGGCAAAAUGAAACCAGUUUGAAAGCCCAGCUGGGAAAAUAUGGCCAAUAACAAUUUUAAUUCUUGUGUGAUGAGUAAUGUCUCCUGGCACCUAGCGAGCAGUUGACAUCAAGCUAGCAGAAGUCAGAAAGGACACUAAAUAAUGCCAUGUUCUGCCGUGAUGUCAGCGGGUGAUAAUUCUGGAACCUACAAGUAGGCAUCAGUUCCCAAGAAGACUAAAGAUAAUCUCACCCUUUCUGGUACUUCAUGGGUGGGCGACUGGGGAGCUGGUCUUGGCAGCAGGGGAUGCUGCCCAGUCGUGCAGUGUGACUGAAAUCCCUGGGUGGUGAGAAUUGUACAGUCAGCUGAGUGGAGACUUAUUUAGGAAUCAGAUGGUUUAGGUUUAUCUGGCCAUCCAUGGCAACAGACUGUUUUUGUUGGCUAAUGGGCUCUACAACCCCUUUAAAACAUUUACCUUUGUUACCGAAUGUGCUAAUCAGCUGAACUUCAAGUCUCCAACCCGAAGGAGGAUUUUGCUGUGAAAAUUCUCUCUCUUGGUAAUUUUAUGGUAGAGGUGAGAUGGUGGGAAGUUGGGAGAAGUACAGAGAAGAGAGAUGAGGCACAGUGAAGCGGCUCCAACGCGCUUUAAUUGAGCUGUGCUCAUGCGUUGUGUCUAUGUUGAGUGCCUGUUUUCUGACAGCCAGGCAUGUCUGAGGUAUCUCAAACUGGCAGCUGAAGUCUCUGAUCCCUUUUGAAAUGCUUGGCAUGAAAGGUGAGUGGGAGAUGAUAAAAAGAUGUCUGUAGCAGCUUUGGAAAUGAAACUUGGAUCUGCUGA